rnacentral:piRNA from 1 species
UGAGAGAAAAGGGGAUCCAGAACUAGCU